CUGGGAGGCUGUGGCUUCGUGGUCACCCUGGGGAGGAAAGUCCCAUCCUGCAUGGCACUGCUCUGUCCUGGCCUGGAGCUGCAGAGAGACAGCCGCCACGUGGGAAGAGGCUGCUGUCUGUGCUCCAGCCACUCCCAUUGUCCCCGUGGGCCCAACCAGGACAGGCUCUUCCUUGGCCCAGGCCAAGGGUAGUGAGAACUGGAGGGAGAAAGGAGGAGGGCAUCUGCGGCCUGUUUCCUGAGCCACCCAGUGGCUGGAACAGGGAGGCGGCUCUCCUCUGGGUGGGGCCACCGGAUAGGAUGGGCUGCUUGUUCCCUGCACAACCCUAGGGGGCACCGUUCCCAUCCCGCAAACCCUUACGCUAUGGCCGCGCCAAGAGGCCAGUCUCUCACCUACUGGCUGGUGCCGAUGGGGAAGAUGUUGGCGACAAAGGAUUUAGAUGGGAGAGAUGUUCCAGAAACGGGCCAAGGGGAGAGCUGGGGGCCUGCUAGCUGCCAAGUGGCAAGGGAUCCAGGAAAAGGCACAGGAUUGCAGAAGUGCUCCCGAGCAAUCUGUGUAUUCUGCAAUUAAGAAGGGGGGCCGAUGGUGAACUUGGCCCGGGUCCCCUAGCCCCUGGCUACUGAAACAGCAGCAGCCGUCACCCGUCACCCAGGAGCUUGUCAGAAAUGCAGAAUCUCCGGCUCCACCACAGAGCUGGGAAUCAGAAUCUUCCUUUUAACAAGAACCUGCGAUGAUUCUGAUUCGUUUGAGAAGCCCUACCCCAGAGUCCUGCUCUCAGACCUGCCAGGCCACUUUCCCUGGGCUCUCUGAACUGGGCGGGGGACAUCGCUUCAGACCUGUGGGCGCAGCAGUGGUCCAAGGUCCGGUCUCUCACAGGUCUCUCUCGGGUUCUGGAGCCCUUGCAAUCCCCCUUCCCGGGCACGACUGAUUGGCCCUGAAGUGGCCCUAGCUCUCAAGUCAGAUUCUUUGGACCCGUCAGGCUCCUGGGCUGUCAGAGGAGAAUGGGUGCACUGGAGGGGCAGGGGCUCAGCUGGGACUGGGAGGCACCAGGCACAUCUCCUCCCCUGUAAACCGGCCUGGCGCUGCAGAAGCAGCCCCAGAUCAGUGACCCUCAGUGUCACUUGCUGUUUGGAGUUUUUGGGUUUCUGGUGUUGGGCACGGCAGGCUCUUUCACUGGUGGGGGACCUGUGUGGCCACACCUGGGGAUAGUCUGAUGGGUACUCUCGGGGGGGGGGGUUGUUGACAAGCCCAUGGGGGGGCCCCCUUCCCCUGAUCAUGCUCCUCACUCCUGACCCUGUUCGGGGAACCUUUAUUCCCCAGGUUUUCAGGGACCUCCUUUGGGGGAGAGGGAGAAACAAAAGAGACAAGUGCGUUGCUCUUCCUUGUAGCCUGUAGACCAGAGAAGGGCGCUGUGUGAGGCUGCACAGGUCUGGGGGUCAGGGUCUGCUCUAGGGUCUUGGUCCUAGCAAGAGGCCUGGUACUAAGGGUCUCCGUCAGCUCCUUCCCCGCAGAGAUGGCCAGGUAAAGCUGUCAUCACUGGUGAGCUGACAGUCUGCCCCCUCGCUCCUCAGCCAUGCCCGGGCCCCGUGGUGGGCUUUUGUGCCCCUGCCUGCCCCGCUCAGGCCAGGCUUGUUCAUCUGGGCCAAGGGAACAGCACAUGGGGCCCACCGGGGGCCUGCCAGGCCCAGGGCUUGCUCUCAUUCUCUUGUGUCACCUUUUACAGAGCCCGGCAGGCAAAUGCCAUCUGGGGAGCUUGGCAAUUACAAUGAAAAAACAACCGAUACUGAGCUCAGUAAACACCGUGACCUCACAGUUGGUCUGUCUCUGGAAUGUGUGGGGAUGGACAUAACCUCAGGGAGUGGAAGGGAGUCUGCGGGCCCCUUUCCGCAGGUCCGCUGGCUCCCCAUGCUGCCCCUCUAGUGGAGCUCACGUACGGAGGGCCUCUGGGCUGAGCCACACAGGCAGGUGGGAAGAUGGGCCGCAAGCCGGGCUUGGGGCAGGUCCCGUGCUUGGCCUCCCGCCCCAUGGCAUCAUCAUCAGUCUCCAAGUAUGUUGAAAUGAGCCUUUGCACAACUCCAAGGAGGGCCCAGCAGUUCCAGGUGACAGUGCCCAGGGCCAUGAGGAGAUGGGAGGAAAGGGGACAGGGUGACAGAAGGGAAGAAUCCCAAAGAGGGUCAAGGGGCCUCCCCAGCUGCUGACUCUCCAUGCUUCCCGAGCAGGGGCUGAGCGUCUCCUUCCAAUCCCCCACCCGUGUAGCUGGACCUCAGUGGCCUUCUACCCAAGGAAUCCGGGCUUCUAGGCUGCCGGAACUGUCCCCAGGCCAUGCCACAGGGAGCCGAGACAAACUUGUCCCCAGAACUUUUUGUUGUGAGCAGUCAAUCGCCUCGGCAUCUGCGGCUGCGGCGCAGAGCAAGGGGUCUUUAAUGAACGCAAAUGACAGCUGAUUAAUCUGCCUCCUCUCUGUGGGGUCUGGCCACGCUCCAUUCCGCCUCCACGGCCCGCGCCAGCAGGGUGGGCUCCAACCUAUUACUGCUGCGCUUCUAGCCCUAAUGGGGAAGAGGGCAAGCCCCCAGCCCUCGCCAGCGCCAGCCCCUAGCCUGCGGGGCUGUCAUGCACGAAGGGUUGGCCCCACAGGAAAGGGCUUGGGCCCUCUGGACUCUCUCCCUGGGUGCUCCCCUGGACGAAGGGGGCAGAUGGCAAGGAAAAAUGUGAGCAGGUGCGCAGUGGGAUUUGGAGAAAAGGGUUACAUUUAGGAGGUAAGUGGGGGCACUGUCUAGACAAUGGUUUUUUAGUUACUCGCUGACUGCGGCCUUAAGAAAGCAGCGGGUUCCCAGAUCAUUCUCACUGUGGGAAAAGGCAGAGAGAGAGAAGGAUGCGCCUAUGGAGAAUUCUUCCUUCUCUGCUAGGUCACCUGCUCUGGCUCCUGGCUGAUGUCCAUGCAGCCCACAUUUAUUGAGGUCCUACUAGGUGCCAAGUGCAGUGCGGGUGUGCGGGUGAUUUACAGUUUGGCAGGAAGACGGAAUGAAGCGAGUAAUUACCGAUGAGAUGCCUGCUAAGGAAAGGACUUAGAGCAGGGAGGGCUUCCUGGAAGAAGCAGAUGGAUUGUCCCCCUGAUAGUGGUGCUUGAUGGGUAGAGGGGAGAGAGAACUGUGCACUGGGUUGGAAAAGCCCCGAUUUCCAGCCCUCCUCAUCCCCAGGCCCCUGUCACCUCCUUGAGUUGCUGGACCCUUCCCUGAAGGGAUGGAGGAGCAAGACAGGGACGGAGUCAGGCCUGGCAUCAUGGAGGCUCCUGACCUUCUCCUGGGCGGGAGCCCUUGCUGGGAAGCAGAAGCAGAGCUCCCUUUGGGGGAGAAACCCCUCAGUUUUUACUGCAGUAAAGAAGGGGCCCCAAGCUCUCCUCUGCCACGGCCUCUAAUGACGGGGUUGGGAUGUAAUGAAUACUAUGUACUCAUCAAGCAGGCUUAUGACCGCCCUCAUUUCACGGACCCCUUUCAUCCUCACCCAUUCCCAAACCAGAAGGGACCAUCCUCAGGGCUGAGGCCCAGGGCCUGGUGGUAGCCACAGACCCCAGCUGUUUGGGAAUGGGGUCCUGUUGGUUCCUGAGCCUGAGGCCCCUCAAAGGCUGCCUUCCCCUCCUCCAUCCCUUAUCUGUUUGAAACAGCUGAGGGAAUUUAGGUCGACCUUAGGAAGUGGGCAGGGGUUGGUGAGGGAGGAAGCAUGUACGCCCUGAUUCUUCAGAGCCCUGUCGACACUUGUAACACGUGGCACGGAGAAAGAGCACUGAGCAUUGAGCACCGGGUGCCAGCGCCCCGCCCCGCCCCCCGCCUGGGUACUGAUAGGAGCUUCCAGCAUCAUCCAACACCUGAGAAGAUCGAGACUCGUGGAGGGAGGGGCUCGGCCUGCUGAAUCACCAGCAACACCUGUGUUUUGCUUGGGAGGUCUCCUGCUCCGGGACUAGCCAAGCCUGACCCUGUUUGGCUUCCUGGAGCUUGGUGAGAUCACAGCCCGGGGUGAUGUGGCUGCAGGCCAGUGUGACCUGCUAUGCAGGGAAUAUUUUUAAAGAGACACUUGCCCCUGUGUUCCCAGGAUCAGCUCCGUGAGACACUCAAGUUGUUCCGAGUCCCCCAGGUCUCCCAAAUUUGAUUGUAGAAAUUGGACAGGGGUACAUGACAUCGCUUGGGAUGGAAUGGGCAAGUGGAAAUAAAUAAUCCGGUCCGCUUGCCAGGGAUAAGCCUCCCCUCCCCGCCUCCCAGGGGAGGGUGGGCCUCAGGGAGGGCCUGGUAAUGGGUGGCAUUGGAG